UACAGAGGGUGCAAGCGUUAUUCGGAAUUAUUGGGCGUAAAGGGCGCGUAGGUGGCUUGGUAAGUCUGAUGUGAAAUCCCCGGACUCAAUUCGGGAAGUGCAUUGGAUACUGCUAAGCUGGAGUAUGGGAGAGGAGAGUGGAAUUCCAGGUGUAGAGGUGAAAUUCGUAGAUAUCUGGAGGAACAACAGAGGCGAAGGCGACUCUCUGGACCAUUACUGACACUGAGGCGCGAAAGCGUGGGGAGCAAACAGG
rnacentral:rRNA from 1 species